CGCCCACCCCCGCCCAGCUGCCCCUGCGUCUGCAGCCAAGGCCGGCUGGGGUCGCCCGGGACAUCGGCUUCCCCACGGCCCCCAGCAGGGCGCCAGCCUGGCCUCCACCAUCCUGGCCCUGAUACCCUUGCCCCACGCCCCUCGCCCCACGCCACCCAGAGUGCCCUGCUCAAGCACAACAGCUCGCCCCCCCCCCCCCCUGCCACCUUCAGGCUACGAACUAGCAGGAGACACGUCAACACACGCCCUGGAGCGCACCUGCCCCCAGUGAGGACUGGGAGGGAAGGGGGGGUUCACACACACACACACACACACACACACACACACAACCCCCCCAACCCACCCCACAACGACCCUUCCACCGCCAUGGCCUUGGCCUCCGCUGUCUCCCACACACACACACAUACACACACACCUGCUCCCACUGUUGGCUUAACACACACACACAGCGCGCAUACACAAUGGGAUUUUCACUCGAGUUAUAAGGGACUAUUUUUUUGGGGGUGGGUGGGGAUGUGUCGUGUUUGUAAUGCUCUCUAGAGAAAAAAAGAUGGAGGAAAUCGGCCAUCGGACAAGGUAAUAUUUAUACACACAAAUACACAGAAGAAAACGACAAGCAGAACACAACGAAGUUACAAAUCUUAACCCGUCUAUUUUUUUUUUUUUUUUUUUUUCUUUCCUCAUUUUUAAAAGAUAUGACCAGGACACAUCACAAAAAAACAAACGGGCAGCCGCAUGUAGUUUCUUUUCCUUGUUGUUGUUAUUAUUAUUAUUAUUAUUAUUAUUUUUAUUUUGUAUGUGGAAUUUCCGUGCCAGGCUCCAAAAAAACCGACUCCCCCGACUGCUCAGCCGCGUGUCCCCUCCUCCGGUGACAGUUCUCACUCCCGGACUCCUCCCACCCAUUAGCAUUUUCUCUUACUCUUCUUCUUCCCUUUUGAAAAAAAAUCACAUUAUUAUUCGUGUUUCUGUAGAGACGGGGGCCGCCGCAUCGGCUUGCUUCCCUCACACAAGCGCAGCUCUCUCUCUCUCUCGGGUUUGUCGACCCCGUCACAGCGGUGCGUGAAAUGCCAUCGACUUUCUGUGAAAACAUCUCGCGCAGCAGAAUCAAUCACUAUUAAUCUUUUUUUUUUUUUUUUUUCUGCGUGCCUUCUAAACAACAUCUCUGCAGAUCUAUCCUUCUGACAGCGUGGAACACACACACACACACUGUCACUUGAUAAGAGGAGGGGGAGGACAGCCACACUCUAUAAAUAGUAAAUAAUUUAUUAUAGUACCUGAAUAAUUCAAUCACUUCCCCUUCACGGUGAAUGUCAUGCUGGUAACAGCCUCAAAUGGGAGUGUGAAUAUGACGUGUUGGUUUCUGCAUCAUUUUUUUUUUUUUGGUUUUGAUAUUUUAACCUAAUUUAAAAUCUUAUCUUUUUUGCAUAUUUUUGCGGUCUUUAAGCGUAGUGCCCCGAUCUCUUUCGCCCUGUUUCCUGCCGUCUUCCCCCCCCCUCGCGUGCGGUCAAGCGCCACAAGACUUGCGUUCAAAGGUUUUCUUCACCUUACCCCCAUUUUUAUAAGGAAAAUAAUCAUCCCAUUUUCAAGGUUCACUGGAAAAAAAACUGUUUGCACAUUUCCGCAAUCCCACCUCCCUACCUUCCUGUUCCCUUUUAUGUUUGUUGAUGAUGUGUGGACUCUGAAAGGCUGUCAAAUGUUUGCUGGUGCAAGUUGUUUUUAUUUCAGUUUGAAACCAAUAAAUGUUUACACCAAAUCACGAUCUCCUUUUAAUGUACCAUUUAAACACGGUGGGCUGUUUUAUUACGGAAAGUUUUCUAGUGAGUGAAACGCUAAGCAGUCACCGGGAGCAAACCACUAACGGGCUGAAAGCGAUGUGCCCAGAAUGCAAUGGCUGGAGAUUGCUGUCGGUAUCGGUCGCAUUUUCUUCCCGAUCAGGUCAAUAUGUAUGGUAAGUCGAGACUGCCCUCUGGUGGCGUUAUCGCGUAGUCGCGGGAGUGUGUUCUCUGUCGAACACUUCGCUGUUGAAGCCAUUGCCUCAUCUGAAAGUGUCGUUCUGGCGCAUACCUAUGAUGUAAAAUCUACAACCGAGAGAUCUACAUUCCCUUGACAUUGAAUACGUGUGGUGGUUUGAUGGUGUUAUGAAAUUAAAGUAUACUACAUUGUCUUCAGUCAUUUUUUUUUGAGGAGGCAGAAGAAAUAAAUGUUUGUAAAACCAAGAUUGUAACUGAUAAGAAGAGCACAGAAUAAUGUCGGGG
ensembl:lncRNA